CUCAGGUCCCGCAAAGACGAGCCUGCCUCCGAGCUUCCCCAGACUCGCGCUUCAACUGUCCCAGUGCGGAUAAGGACGGUCGCCCGCAGGCCAAAGGGAAACAUAACCCCGUCCCUACCGCCGAACGUGCCUCGGUCCUAUGCAAAAGGGGCAUCGGUUGGUUCCACCCCGGGCCACCGAGAAGGACUUUCAGGGAGGCGGAGAGAAUGGAGGUGCCUGGCUCGCUUUAGCAAAGCACAGGUGUCUGGACCUUCAAUCACAAUAUACCAAGGAAGAGACUCCACCCCCACCACACUGCUGGAGGUUAAUGGGUGCCUUGAUAGGCCCUGGGGCUUGGGGAUGCAGAAUUUGCAGGGAGUUGGGGGGCAGUGAUCUUACCUGGGUCACCGGAGAGAAUAAAAGCCAAGUGACUAUUCAGCAUCCCCUCUUCCCCACCAACCUUUAGCAUUUCUCUCUUCCUCCUGUCAGUCUCCCAGCUAUCAAGUGUGGACUCGACAGGAAUGUUGCAAGGAAAAACUAAUUAAACGGCAGUACAAUGCUUUGAAAAUA